rnacentral:rRNA from 1 species
CCAGACUCCUACGGGAGGCAGCAGUGGGGAAUAUUGGACAAUGGGGGGAACCCUGAUCCAGCGACGCCGCGUGAGUGAAGAAGUAUUUCGGUAUGUAAAGCUCUAUCAGCAGGGAAGAAAGAAAUGACGGUACCUGACUAAGAAGCCCCGGCUAACUACGUGCCAGCAGCCGCGGUAAUACGUAGGGGGCGAGCGUUAUCCGGAUUCACUGGGUGUAAAGGGAGCGUAGACGGCCGUGCAAGCCAGGAGUGAAAGCCCGGGGCCCAACCCCGGGACUGCUCUUGGAACUGUGCGGCUGGAGUGCGGGAGGGGCAGGCGGAAUUCCUGGUGUAGCGGUGAAAUGCGUAGAUAUCAGGAGGAACACCGGCGGCGAAGGCGGCCUGCUGGACCGCGACUGACGUUGAGGCUCGAAAGCGUGGGGAGCGAACAGGAUUAGAUACCCUAGUA